UACGUAGGCAGCAAGCGUUGUUCGGAGUUACUGGGCGUAAAGGGUGUGUAGGCGGUUGCUUAAGUUUGGUGUGAAAUCUCCCGGCUCAACUGGGAGGGUGCGCCGAAUACUGAGUGACUAGAGUGCGGGAGAGGAAAGUGGAAUUCCUGGUGUAGCGGUGAAAUGCGUAGAUAUCAGGAGGAACACCUGCGGUGUAGACGGCUUACUGGACCAUAACUGACGCUGAGGCACGAAAGCGUGGGUAGCAAACAGG
rnacentral:rRNA from 1 species